rnacentral:misc_RNA from 1 species
AAGUCGUAACAAGGUUUCCGUAGGUGAACCUGCGGAAGGAUCAUUACAGAGAUCAUGCCCUCACGGGUAGACCUCCCACCCUUGUGUAAAUAUACUUUGUUGCUUUGGCGGAUAAUGCGCUUGUUUUCGAACGGGUGUAUGUCACGUCCGCCAGAGGAUACCAAACUCAUAAUUAUUAAUGUCGUCUGAGUACUAUAUAAUAGUUAAAACUUUCAACAACGGAUCUCUUGGUUCUG